rnacentral:rRNA from 1 species
AACGAACGCUGGCGGCAUGCCUAACACAUGCAAGUCGAACGAGACCUUCGGGUCUAGUGGCGCACGGGUGCGUAACGCGUGGGAAUCUGCCCUUGGGUUCGGAAUAACAGUUGGAAACGACUGCUAAUACCGGAUGAUGACGUAAGUCCAAAGAUUUAUCGCCCAAGGAUGAGCCCGCGUAGGAUUAGCUAGUUGGUGAGGUAAAGGCUCACCAAGGCGACGAUCCUUAGCUGGUCUGAGAGGAUGAUCAGCCACACUGGGACUGAGACACGGCCCAGACUCCUACGGGAGGGAGGAGUGGGGAAUAUUGGAGAAGGGGCGAAAGCCUGAUCCAGCCAUGCCGCGUGAGUGAUGAAGGCCUUAGGGUUGUAAAGCUCUUUUACCCGGGAUGAUAAUGACAGUACCGGGAGAAUAAGCUCCGGCUAACUACGUG